UACGUAGGGGGCAAGCGUUGUCCGGAUUUAUUGGGCGUAAAGAGCGUGUAGGCGGCCAGACAGGUCCGUUGUGAAAACUCGAGGCUCAACCUCGAGACGCCGAUGGAAACCGUCUGGCUAGAGUCCGGAAGAGGAGAGUGGAAUUCCUGGUGUAGCGGUGAAAUGCGCAGAUAUCGUAAGGAAGACCAGUGGCGAAGGCGGGUCUCUGGACAGUUCCUGACGCUGAGGCACGAAGGCCAGGGGAGCAAACGGG
rnacentral:rRNA from 1 species